rnacentral:lncRNA from 1 species
UUUAAGCUAGUAUUAUUUUCAUAAAAAAAAGAUAUUUUCCAUGAAUUUUGUCCAUAAAGAAUUUUGAACCCGGUUUCAAACGCAUCAAACCAUUUAUUGUUUGGGUAUUUCUACAAUAAGUUAUGAUCAAAUUACUAAAGUAAGGAAUGCAGAACAAGCAAAGUUUUGCUAAGGGUUUAUAACCUUAAAUCGCGUCUCGAGAUCUCCACUUUUCUCUUGUGUACCUCAGAUACCAUGGAUGACCGUGUAAUCAUGGUUUCAUACAUAUAUGAAGGUUUAGAAGUGAAUUAGGGUCCACAUCAUAGAAAGGUACCAAAGGAGGGUAUCUACAUCAUAGAUCAAAGGAGGGUAAGUUGGAAAAAAAGAAAUACAGAAAGGAUGCAACUAAGGGGUUCAUCUGAACUCAUGCGCCGCACGGAUUUGAAUGAUCCAAGAACCCCAGCCAUUUCAGCAAAAUAUUGAAGUAUUGCCCCAUCACACGAACUUGAACGAGAGCUCAUCCAUGUUAGUGUGACGCACAAAGAUGAACAAGCUAGGCAUGAACCCUUUAUAAAGGGCAUUUCGGUAGCCCACUUCUCCCUCUCCUCUUGGCCAUUUCUUGGAGCUUCUCUACACUAUGUCAAGAUCCCCAAUACCUCUCAUCUUGAUGGUGAGUAAUCCCUAGUAAUUUAGUAUAUUAUUCCAUCAAUUCCACCCUAAAACUAACCCAAUCCACCAUGGAACCUUUAGAUUUCAAGGAAUUACCCCAAGAGCUCAAGCGAGGACCUUGCAAGAUUUACUCCCAAAAGGUAAUUUCAUCUACUUGGACUUGUAUGCAUGGAUUAAAAAAGAAUAUAUGAGUAGUAAUUUUUGGGUAAAACAUAUGGGACGGUGAUUGGAAGCCAUAAGUUCACCAAUUAGAAUUUUGAAAAUUUGUAGAGAGUGAAAAGUUAUUUGUUUGAUGAAUUGGUUGGUUGAGGAUGGAUGGUAAGACAUGAAUAUGUUGUUGGAGGUCCUAAUCUAUUUAAUGUUGUUUGUAGUAUAAAUUGGUGGGACGAAGAGUGGGUAUGAGAUGAAGAAAUAUCACCGAUGAAAGUUGUAGAAAGAUGUGCACACAAGAUGCUUGACAUAAUGCAUAAGGGAGCAAAAUGUAAAACAACUUUACUAAUAUUGGUACAAUUCUAUUGCAUUAUUGUAGAUUGAAGUUGUUUAGUAUAGUGUACCACUAUAGUAUCAUUUAGGAAAAAUUUGAGGUAUGUUGGCUAAACUCCCUUUCUAAAAUUGGAAUCCAAGAGUUCUUCGUAAGUUCCUAAUGUGCUUUGUUCAAACUCUUGUUCCUACUAUUUCAAAUUGCUUCUGAUGAUUGAUUUUCCUAAAUUCUUAUGUACUAGAGCCACGUUAAAAUUUCUCUUAUCAUAGCAUGUUCCCCCUUUGUGGGAAAAUAUCCAAAUAUGGUUGUUGUGACUAAUGCAUAUGAUUUGAACUCAUGUUCAGUUGUAAAUCAUCACGCUCUCCUUUUAAGGUAUUCCCAAGGUGUUUAUAGUCUUUACAUACUCAUGAGUUCAGACAGUAUAUUGUCCUUGUUGAGAAGAUU